CCUACGGGAGGCAGCAGUGAGGAAUAUUGGUCAAUGGGCGAGAGCCUGAACCAGCCAAGUCGCGUGAGGGAAGACGGUCCUAUGGAUUGUAAACUUCUUUUGCCGGGGGGCAAAAAGCGGUACGUGUACCUGACCGAGAGUACCCGGAGAAAAAGCAUCGGCUAACUCCGUGCCAGCAGCCGCGGUAAUACGGAGGAUGCGAGCGUUAUCCGGAUUUAUUGGGUUUAAAGGGUGCGGAGGCGGCGAGUUAAGUCAGCGGUAAAAUUGCGGGGCUCAACCCCGACGAGCCGUUGAAACUGGCGUGCUGGAGAGGGCGAGAGGUAUGCGGAAGGCGUGGUGUAGCGGUGAAAU
rnacentral:rRNA from 1 species